AUGGCUCCAAAACUUGCCGGUUUCGGUAUGUCCAAGCUCUUCAACGAAGAACAAACCUGCAGGGUGACGCAAAAUUUACGUGCAGGAACUAUUGGAUACAUGCCACCGGAAUACAUAAAUGGAGGCACGGUCUCAAAGAAGUUUGACAUAUUCAGCUUGGGUGUUGUCAUGAACAAGAUAAUUGCAGGGCCUAGCGGCCACACCAAAUGUGCUGAAAUGCAGCAUCAGGAGUUUCUUGAUCAAGUAGAAGGAAAUUGGAGAAAAAGUUUGAAAGAAACAUGGAGUUCUCCCAAGCUACUAGACGCACAAUGCCGGCAAGUGAAAAUAUGCACUGAGAUUGCACUGAGUUGCAUGAAGACGGAUAGGCACGAAAGGCCAAGUAUAGUGGAUAUCAUAAACGACCUUAACGAGACAGAAACUUUUAUUGAAAAGGUUAGCAAUUGUGAACAAGAUCCAUCACUGCUGACUUCCACUUCAAAUAGUGUUCAACCUGCAGCAUCACCUCCACCUUCAACACAAUCUCCACCACCUUCUCCAACCAGUGGCGGAGGCAGGAAUAGUAAAUUUAUGAUCUUGAGGGGGGGCCAAUUAACGAAACAUAACAAAAAGUUUACUGGUCACGCCCAAAAUGCAAAGAAGUGGCUAAUGUCGGGGCGGGCUGGGGACCCUGUUGAUCCCCCCCUGCCUCCGCCACUGUCUCCAACACCAUCUGCCAUUGCCACGUUCUGA
rnacentral:rRNA from 1 species